UGGGGAAUCUUCGGCAAUGGGGGCAACCCUGACCGAGCCAUGCCGCGUGAGUGACGAAGGCCUUAGGGUCGUAAAGCUCUUUCGCCUGCGAAGAUAAUGACGGUAGCAGGUAAAGAAACCCCGGCUAACUCCGUGCCAGCAGCCGCGGUAAUACGGAGGGGGUUAGCGUUGUUCGGAAUUACUGGGCGUAAAGCGCGCGUAGGCGGACUAUUAAGUCAGGGGUGAAAUCCCGGGGCUCAACCCCGGAACUGCCUUUGAUACUGGUAGUCUUGAGUUCGAGAGAGGUGAGUGGAACUCCGAGUGUAGAGGUGAAAUUCGUAGAUAUUCGGAAGAACACCAGUGGCGAAGGCGGCUCACUGGCUCGAUACUGACGCUGAGGUGCGAAAGUGUGGGGAGCAAACAGGAUUAGAUACCCCCGUAGUCC
rnacentral:rRNA from 1 species